rnacentral:rRNA from 1 species
ACGAGCGAGUGCUUAAAACUCAAAGAACUUGGCGGCUUGUUAACUACCUAGGGGAAUAUGCGCCUUAAUCCGAUGGUCCCCGUAGCAUCUUACUGGAUCUUGAAAAAGUGCAGUUGGUGUAUUGCCGUUGUCAGCUUGUUGUUCGAGCAAGGAAAAACAGGCUUAAUGGAUCUUGGUGAUUAUGUUCACGAGAACCCGUGAAUUCAGGUCGUAAUGCUGCCUACGGUCCAAGGGAGUGGGUAUUACAAUUUAUAUUUAAAAUUACGGAACUUUAUUUUGAAAUUUUAGAGUGGAAGGUGAACUUAGGAGUAA